AGAAGACUUCUUCACAGUCAGCAAAUCAGAACGAUAUUAAAUCUCCAAUAGCGGAAAAGCAUCAUUCUGGAAUCGGGAAUAAAUCGAAUUUGAGUGACCAACUGCAGUUGAAAAAGUCAUCUGACAAGAUUAGUAGAAUCAAUGACAAAGAAAUACUUUCUGAUAUCGACCAUGAGCGAUACAAUGAGGGAAAACGUGGCAACGCUCUCCCACCUCUUGGAAUACCUGACACGAAAUCACCAAGACACCUCGUCAGCGAAGAAAUUUCGAAACUUCAGUCCAAUGGUGAUACACAAACGAAACACCCUACCAAAAACAACACGAAUGUUGGAAAAGAACUUUCAGAUUCGAAAAGUUCUAAAAAUCAAAC